AUUUAUGGUAAAGUCAAAACUGACCAAACUAUCAGAAUGCAUGUGCUUUCUGGAUUUCCUUUAGUUAUUCUGUGGUACUGCAUGCUGGACUGUAACCAUCAGAAUCAGUGAAUGGGACACGUCCUGAAUAAUAUCAUGAUGAGAUUUGUGUGAACAUCGGUGAGCAGCUGAAGUUAGAUGUUCUGUUGUCAGAAGCUGAUAAAGUGCAGCAUCAGAGCAG